CCAUCUGGGUACCCGUACCGCAAACCGACACAGGUAGGCGAGGAGAAAAUCCUCAGGCGCAAGUGAGAACACUCGUUUAGGAACUCGGCAAAAUUGCCCCGUAACUUCGGGAGAAGGGGUGCUCCGUUACCGUUAGUGUCCACGCGGCAUGAAGCGGGAGGGAGUUGCAGUUAAGAGGCCCAAGCGACUGUUUACUAAAAACACAGGGCUCUGCUAAGUCGAAAACGACGUAUAGGGUCUGACGCCUGCCCGGUGCCGGAAGGUUAAAAGGAGGGGUUAGCCGCAAGGCGAAGCUCUGAAUUGAAGCCCCGGUAAACGGCGGCCGUAACUAUAACGGUCCUAAGGUAGCGAAAUUCCUUGUCGGGUAAGUUCCGACCUGCACGAAUGGCGUAACGAUUUGGGCGCUGUCUCAACGAGUGGCACUGCGAAUUUGUGGUACCGGUGAAGACGCCGGUUGCCCGUCACAAGACGAAAAGACCCCGUGCACCUUUACUACACCUUAGUAGUGAACGCUGGCGUCGUAUGCGCAGGAUAGGUGGGAGGCUUUGAACCCAGGUUUUCGGAUUUGGGGGAGCCAACGGUGAGAUACCACCCUUACGACUCCGGUGUUCUAACUGCAGCCCGUCAUCCGGGCUCAGGACACUGCUAGGCGGGUAGUUUGACUGGGGCGGUCGCCUCCUAAACGGUAACGGAGGCGCGCGAAGGUUCGCUCAGGCUGUUUGGAAAUCAGCCGUAGAGUGCAAAGGCAUAAGCGAGCUUGACUGCGAGACAUACAAGUCGAGCAGGUGCGAAAGCAGGCCUUAGUGAUCCGGUGGUCCCGCAUGGAAGGGCCAUCGCUCAACGGAUAAAAGGUACGCCGGGGAUAACAGGCUGAUCCUUGCCAAGAGUUCACAUCGACGCAAGGGUUUGGCACCUCGAUGUCGGCUCAUCGCAUCCUGGAGCUGUAGCAGGUUCCAAGGGUCCGGCUGUUCGCCGGUUAAAGCGGUACGUGAGCUGGGUUUAGAACGUCGCGAGACAGUUCGGUCUCUAUCUGUGAUGGGCGGAGGAAAUUUGAGUGGGGCUGACCUUAGUACGAGAGGACCGGGUUGGACGGACCUCUAGUGUACCGGUUAUCACGCCAGUGGUAGCGCCGGGUAGCUAAGUCCGGAAGGGAGAAACGCUGAAUGCAUCUAAGCGUGAAACCCUCCACAAGAUGAGAUUUCCCUGGACGUAAGUCCCUGAAGGCUCCUGGUAGACUACCAGGUUGAUAGGUCGGGUGUGGAAGCGUAGCGAUACGUGGAGCUGACCGAUACUAAUUAGCCGUGAGGCUUGACCA
rnacentral:rRNA from 1 species